CUCAAGCAUAAAUUCCAAGCAUACCAAGACAAUAUUUUAAUUUGAUCCCAUAAGUGUUUCCCUUUUUUAGUCAAGAAAUAAUCCCUAAAGUACCGACGUUGACCCAACACAUCUCCCAUUAUCAAGUUGAAUGGGGAUUUUUCAGGAUUUUCAAAGUAGUAUUUAAUGUUUUCCACGUAACGAGCAUCAAGGGUUUUAGGAGGUUCCCCAUCUCCAUGAGUAGCAAGUACAACUAUUUUUUUGGUAUUUCAUGUCCUAUAUCCAUAACGAAAGAUAUAAAACAACUUAUAAUAGAAAAUAAAAACUACUUGGUGAUAAAGAAAACUAGCACACACGAAAAUAUCAGCCCCAUGCUAUUUCUCCCUAGCAACGGUGCGAUAAAAAGGUCUAGCAAGUUGUCGGUGUCAAAACUGGCUAAUCUCGAGUAGGGGGUCCGAACUAUGGAUCUUGGAUCGAUGGGUAACAAGAGAUAAGGAAGACGAUGUUUACCCAGGUUCGGGCCCUCCUGAUGGAGGUAAAACCCUACGUCCUGCUCUUAUUAUAUUGAUGGGGUUGCACAGAGUACAUAGUUGAUCCACCUCGAUAUCGUAUGUUGUGGUCUAAACCCUAACAGCCAUGAGCCUCUUUUAUGAACUAUGACCCUCUUUGUUUAUAUAGAUACCAGGGGUGUUAGGGAUACCCAACAUCGGCUACAUCAGGGAAGGAAUAUGUCGAUCACUACGCGGCCUUGGAUUACACGCCAAGUAUUCAAAAGAAUCCAUCUUGAAUACACCAUAUCUUUAUUUGUCUGUAGUCCAAUAAUGAUGAUAGAACGGCCCACGAGUCCGGCAGAUGGAAAUAAGUGAAUGGCCCGAGGACUCGGGACUCCUUGAGUAGCCCUCGAAAUCGCCUCCAAUGUCGUAGUCUUGACCUCAAGCUACUUUAAAUGUCCAAAGUCUUCGGCUUGCGGGGCGAGUUCUCCCCUUCUUACAUUUAGCCGACAAUAGUUCGGUUGCCGAUGACUUUACCCAUUCCAAAUAUAUAAAAAAAUAUAGAUAAAUUUUAAUUUCCAGGCCGACCUUUCGAUCGUGAAUAGUGUUUUUUGUCUCACACCAUUUCUAACGAAAGGUCGCGGCCGGUCAAGGCCUACGACCCAUUGCAGAAGCGCGGCUCAAAACCAUCUUUACUCACAUGUUCCAUUAUGGAGGCCGUGUUCCUAUUUUAUAGGGAUAUGGUUUAUGUUUUGGGUUAUCCCACUCGCGCAUAACCACACGAUUUUGUCGGGAAGUCGCGAAGUUCACGGCGCAUUAGUGGGGCUCUUGGAAUUUUAGCGGUUAAAAGUUAUAGGAAAAAUGCUCCCAGGGACUUAUCUGUGAUAAAUAGAAAAGUAUCCAGGGUUAAAACUAAGAAAAGAGAAAACGUUUCAAUUGAAACUGGGCUGGACCAGAAGGGAAAACAUAUUUGGGAAAAUAUGUUUUCAGAUAAUAGUCCGCAAAGAAAAGAAAGUUGAUGCGUGGGCCACUGCUAUUAGGUUCAAAAAUUUCACCGGCAGCAGGGGGUCGCGGUGGUGGCCGAUGUUGAUUGACGGCGAGCCAGGGGAAGGGGGUGGCACAAGCAGACUCAGGAGGCGAUUCUGCGUUGAGGGGUGGUGGACCUGCUCGAUGGCGAGAACCACAACGUCGCCAACAUCCUCUCUGGCGAUAGCCAGCCUCGGGCUAGGAUGGAUCUAACCGCCACGACCUGCACACGUCAAAUUGAUGCGCGGGUCAGAUGAGGUGAACCACUACGAGGCUACUGACCAAGUUUGAGCAGAGGGGGCUCACUACCAAGCACGAAUUUUUGCCCGGACCCGAAGUGGAUCCGGGUGGCUAGAGGCAGGGAAGAAGACCUCCCCUUGGUCCUCUGCGGGGCUGGGCUUGGCUCUGUGGUCUCUAGGGU
rnacentral:lncRNA from 1 species